AUCAACGUGUUUUCGUUGUAUCAAUUCAUAUGUUAUCUCGAAAAGUUUAAAUUAUAAUUUUUCUUACUACUCCAUUCUGUUUGUAUUAAAAUUUUAAUUGUAAAAAUGUAGGAGCUCUAAAUUAAAUUUAAGACCAUAAAAUAAAAAUUGAAAUUCAAUUUGCGAUUCCAGAAUGUAAUUACUUUAUUUUGAUAUUCGAUUUAGAUCAGAAUUAAUGUCUAACUUAAAUGAAUCAUUGGAGAACAUUAUGAACCGAUAAGCUUUCAAGUCAUUAAAAUUUUCUACAGGAUGUCACUCACCAUGAGGAAGACCAUUUUUAACACUGUGAACUUGAAUCGUUUUCUCGGUCUGUUUGACAAUACAAUUAGUUAUACGCGUUACAUGAAUUGAUCGCAAUAUUCUGGUGGAAGAAGGAAUUGAAUUAAAACGGGGGCACACGAGUUUCCUUAAACACUGUUCAUGUCACCGCACCGGAUGUCGUGGGGUCGAACACCUCCGUCCUCACAGGUGGAUGUCCAGAGGUUGACUGUAGAAUCGUAAGUAACCAUUCUCUGUGCUCUGGUAGAGCCAAGGAAAAAGAGGGGAUGAGACGAGGAAUAUCGGCCCCUAUUCUACCUCGAAACUUUUUUUUCUUUUAUUGAAGAAAAAGUUUGAAGAGAAAAAGGGUAACUAAGAACGCCCCUCUUUUUCUUUUAUAUUUCAUCAAAAAGUUUCUAUCUAAUGUUUGCAUCUUCAUCGGAAUUAUUAUUUUUUAUAUAAAAAGAUUAUAAUCAUUUAUGAAUUAUAAAAAAUAUUAACAUAAUAUUUACGGAGAUAUCAAGAUUAAAAUAAUAAUAUAACAAUGAUAAAUUGUUUUUAUAAUUAUUUCGUGAUAAUGUAUGACAAGGUAUACGUGUUUUUAAACGAACAAUGAUAAGAAUUCAACAAAUACCCAAAAUUGUGUUGAUACUGUUUUUUUAUUUAAUCUGAUUGCCAAUUAGAUCGAAUUGUUUGCGUAUAAAUUAAUUAUAAAAUUUCUUUGAAUAUUAACUGUUACACAUAUAAACAUUAGUUUGCAAAUUGUAUUUUAUAAUUUGAAUUUUUGACCAGAAUUCAUUGUGAUUGUGAACAAUUUGACAUUAUCGUAAGUUCUUAUUAUUAAUUAUAAAAAAGCAAUGUCAAAACACAUUUCUAUUGAAAACUGAACACCGUUAAGAAUGUAUCUUCA